AAUGAACGUUGGCGGCGUGGAUUAGGCAUGCAAGUCGAACGAUAAACCUCCUACGGGAGGCGGAAAGUGGCGCAAGGGAGAGUAACGCGUGGAUUAUCUACCCCUGGAACUGGGAUAGCUGCGGGAAACUGCAGGUAAUACCAGAUAAUGUCUCCGGACCAAAGGUGUGAUUCCGUCCAGGGAUGAGUCCGCGUCCUAUUAGCUAGUUGGUAGGGUAACGGCCUACCAAGGCAAUGAUGGGUACUGGGUGUGAGAGCACGACCCAGCUCACUGGGACUGAGACACUGCCCAGACACCUACGGGUGGCUGCAGUCGAGAAUCUCCGGCAAUGGGCGCAAGCCUGACCGAGCGACGCCGCGUGCGGGAUGAAGGCCUUCGGGUUGUAAACCGCUGUCAGAGGGGAUGAAAUGCCGGGAGGUUCUCCUUCCGGUUUGACAUAGCCUCAGAGGAAGUACGGGCUAAGUUCGUGCCAGCAGCCGCAGUAACAC
rnacentral:rRNA from 1 species